rnacentral:tRNA from 1 species
AAAAAUGAAAUCAUUAAAGAUAUUUCAUUUACAAUGAAAAUUAGUAUAAUUAUACCAUUUUUC